rnacentral:lncRNA from 1 species
AGCCAGUGACCUGGCUCUACCGCCUAGUCUCUGUGCCACGCAUACCAUUUUCCAGUUCAAUUUCACCUUCUCCAAACUCAAUGUUGCCCUCUACGUUCAAGACACCAAAUCCUCGCCUGCUAGAAUCGUUUACUUAAUUCGACACGUCCCUUCCCCGUCGUAAGAAAAUUGGUCUCUGAAGUUUUAGAAAUGACCGACUCCACAGAACAAACUGAGCACCUCCUCAACAUGGCCACCCUCAAGAAGAAGAAACACAACGGGCGCGGCCAUAUUGCUUCAGAACAGAGACGUCACAGGCGCCGCCAUCUUCCCUCCAUGCCUGCGCCGCUGUCCCCGUAACCUUAGCGUACGGCAGAGAGGAGGGGUGGGGCCUCGAGUUGACUUGGCAGAAGGGGUCUCAAAGGCACCACUGAGCGUGCGCAGAAUGGGCUGCUGCACUGCUUUAGGUUGCGGUGCCAGAGAGUCGGUCCCGAAGAGGAAGUGCUUCUUGGGGACAGUUCUUGUAACGGUGGCCACUGCAGCGAGCAGGAAAUCUGUUGUCGAGAGAGAGCGAGCUCAGCUUUUACCCAUCUCUUUCGUUUCCCAAGAAGAGCAAGAAAUGGCCAAAUCCCAGGUAAGUAUGUUGUCUUUGUGUACCUUUGUGUUGCUAUGGAAGUUAUGGGAAAUGUAGGAAUCUUUGACAGA